CAAGCAGGCCGCCUUAUCGCUCCGACAUUUCCUGAUGUUAUCAGGAUCGGGGAGGAAAGUCCGGACACCAUAGGGUAGCAUAGUGGGUAACACCCACCGUCCGCCCCCGGCGGGCAGGACCAGUGCAACAGAAAGAAUGUACAGGUUAAGCUGUAGUGAAAUCAGGUAAACUCUAUGCGGUGCAAUGCCAUGUAUACCGGCAUUUAAGGGUUACCCGCCCGUUGCCGGAGGGUAGGCAGCUAAAAAUUGAUGGUAACAUUAAUUUCAGAUAAAUGAUAAGGGGCCCGAUCAGUUAUCGGGUUACAGAAUCCGGCUUACAGGCCUGCUUUUUUA
rnacentral:RNase_P_RNA from 1 species